GGCGAACGGGUGAGUAACACGUGGGUGAUCUGCCCUGCACUUCGGGAUAAGCCUGGGAAACUGGGUCUAAUACCGGAUAGGAGCCAUUUUUAGUGUGAUGGUUGGAAAGUUUUUUCGGUGUAGGAUGAGCUCGCGGCCUAUCAGCUUGUUGGUGGGGUAAUGGCCUACCAAGGCGGCGACGGGUAGCCGGCCUGAGAGGGUGGACGGCCACAUUGAGACUGAGAUACGGCCCAG
rnacentral:rRNA from 1 species